GAUGAACGCUAGCGGCAGGCUUAAUACAUGCAAGUCGAGGGGCAGCGCGGGGUAGCAAUACUCUGGUGGCGACCGGCAAACGGGUGCGGAACACGUACAGAACCUUCCUUCGAGCGGGGAAUAGCCCAGAGAAAUUUGGAUUAAUACCCCAUAGUAUAGCGGAGUGGCAUCACCCUGUUAUUAAAGAUUUAUCACUUGAAGAUGGCUGUGCGGCUGAUUAGGUAGUUGGCGGGGUAACGGCCCACCAAGCCUGCGAUCAGUAACUGGUGUGAGAGCACGACCAGUCACACGGGCACUGAGACACGGGCCCGACUCCUACGGGAGGCAGCCGUAAGGAAUAUUGGUCAAUGGACGAAAGUCUGAACCAGCCAUGCCGCGUGAAGGAUGAAGGUCCUCUGGAUUGUAAACUUCUUUUAUAUGGGACGAAAAAAGGCUUUUCUAAGUCGUCUGACGGUACCAUUUGAAUAAGCACCGGCUAACUCCGUGCCAGCAGCCGCAGUAAAAC
rnacentral:rRNA from 1 species